GAUGAACGCUGGCGGCGUGCCUAAUACAUGCAGGUCGAACGAAGUCUUCGGACUUAGUGGCGAACGGGUGAGUAACACGUUGGUACCUACCCCGAAGUGGGGAAUAACUGCCCGAAAGGGUGGCUAAUACCGCAUAAUACCGCAAGGUUAAAGCAGUAAUGCGCUUCGGGAGGGGCCUGCGUCCCAUUAGCUAGUUGGUAGGGUAAUGGCCUACCAAGGCGACGAUGGGUAGCUGGAUCGAGAGGUUGACCAGCCACACUGGGACUGAGAUACGGCCCAGACUCCUACGGGAGGCAGCAGUAAGGAAUCUUCCACAAUGGACGAAAGUCUGAUGGAGCAACGCCGCGUGCAGGAUGACGGCCUUCGGGUUGUAAACUGCUUUUAUACGGGAAGAUUAUGACGGUACCGUAUGAAUAAGGACCGACUAACUACGUGCCAGCAGCAGCCGCAG
rnacentral:rRNA from 1 species